UGCUAUUCAUGGAGUCUUUUA
rnacentral:piRNA from 1 species